CCAGGGAUGGCGGGACGCGAAAGUUUUCUUCUCGCGAUAGAUCCGGACCCCAGCAAUGACCUCAUUUGCAUACGGCCAAAAAGAGCUCACCUUGACCGUGUUGUCAAGUUAACAAACGCACUCUACCAAGUAAACUCAAGACGACGAACGGUGUUGUAAGUCGACCGAUUGUCAAGCUAUGCCUGAAUGAGACAGAUAUCAAAAUGUUAUUUCCCCAAGGCUAGAAGGAUCCAGGGACACAAACCAGUGUGGAAAAGGAGGUUAUGGAAGCUCAAGGAUCCUUCAAAUGGACUAAGCUUUCGAGAUAUGCUUAAUGAAGGCUUUGAUGAGGAAGAGACAGAGACAACUGGAAGUUCUUAUGGGGAUAAUCCAUUGAGGGAGACAGACCAAAUAUUUGGUUGGAGCAAAGCUUGUCAGACCAAGAGUGACGAGGUGGAAGAACCGAGAGAUCAACAGAGUCACAAAAAAGUAGAGAUGGCUUUCAAAAGAGUGAAAAAGUUGGGGUGGCAAAGAAGCAUAUCAGAUAAUUAAGGAUCAGGUUUAUCUAUUUAGGGCAUAAGCAGAAAGGAAGGGGUUUGCCAAUGUCUAACACUCUGAACAUCAGAGACUUGGAGUGUUCUGGACGGCUUCACAGCACGUCAGAGAGAAUCCAGAUGUGGGAGAAAAAUGUGUAUGGAUGGACAAAGAAGAAUGGAAGAACUAUUACUUUUAUACCAUCCUAAGAAAUUUCCUACUUUCUAAACACACAGCUUCAUCACAGUUUCCUAUUUUCAUUUAAUAAUUAUAAAAAAACAGAAUGGACUAAACCGAGCUGGAGCAUACAUGAGGACAGAAAGUGUCAUUGAAGAGGUCACAGAUGGACAAUGGACAGGAGUUAAAACAAGAACAGUUAUAAACGUGUGAAGAAAGAAUAUAAAGUGCAUGUUUAUUUGGAAAAU
rnacentral:lncRNA from 1 species